rnacentral:rRNA from 12 species
GAAGAAGCACCGGCUAACUCCGUGCCAGCAGCCGCGGUAAUACGGAGGAUCCAAGCGUUAUCCGGAUUCAUUGGGUUUAAAGGGUCCGUAGGCGGAUUUUUAAGUCAGUGGUGAAAGCCCACAGCUCAACUGUGGAACUGCCAUUGAUACUGGAAGUCUUGAGUUUGGUUGAAGUUGGCGGAAUACGUCAUGUAGCGGUGAAAUGCAUAGAUAUGACGUAGAACACCGAUUGCGAAGGCAGCUGACUAAGUCAAUACUGACGCUGAGGGACGAAAGCGUGGGGAGCGAACAGGAUUAGAUACCCUGG